rnacentral:rRNA from 1 species
UACGGGGGGGGCAAGCGUUGUUCGGAAUUACUGGGCGUAAAGGGGUUGUGGGCGGCCAACUAAGUCCGACGUGAAAUCCCAAGGCUUAACCUUGGAACUGCGUCGGAUACUGGAUGGCUUGAAUUCGGGAGAGGGAUGCAGAAUUCCAGGUGUAGCGGUGAAAAUGCGUAGAUAUCUGGAGGAAUACCGGUGGCGAAGGCGGCAUCCUGGACCGACAUUGACGCUGAUAACCGAAAGCUAGGGGAGCAAACGGG